rnacentral:rRNA from 1 species
AUGCACCGGAUCCCAUCAGAACUCUGCAGUUAAGCGCGCUUGGGCUAGAGUAGUACUGGGAUGGGUGACCUCCCAGGAAGUCCUAGUGUUGCACCCU